UUUCCGUAGGUGAACCUGCGGAGGGAUCAUUACUGAGUGAGGGCUUCGGUCCGACCUCCAACCCUUUUGUGAACCACCUCGUUGCUUCGGGGGCGUCCCUGCCGUUCGCGGCGUGGGGCCCCCGGAGCCCAUCAAACCCUGCGUAACUAAGUCGUCGGAGUUUAAACAAAUUAAACAAAACUUUCAACAACGGAUCUCUUGGUUCCAGCAUCGAUGAAGAACGAAGA
rnacentral:misc_RNA from 1 species